rnacentral:rRNA from 1 species
UACGUAGGGUCCGAGUGUUGUCCGGAAUUACUGGGCGUAAAGAGCUCGUAGGUGGUUUGUCGCGUUGUUCGUGAAAACUCACAGCUCAACUGUGGGCGUGCGGGCGAUACGGGCAGACUGGAGUACUGCAGGGGAGACUGGAAUUCCUGGUGUAGCGGUGGAAUGCGCAGGUAUCAGGAGGAACACCGGUGGCGAAGGCGGUCUGCUGGGCAGUUUCUGACACUGAUGCGCGACAGCGUGGGGAGCAAACAGG